rnacentral:rRNA from 1 species
UACGUAGGGUGCAAGCGUUGUCCGGAAUUAUUGGGCGUAAAGAGCUCGUAGGCGGUCAGUCGCGUCUGCUGUGAAAACUCGGGGCUUAACUCCGGGCCUGCAGUGGGUACGGGCUGACUAGAGUGCGGUAGGGGAGACUGGAAUUCCUGGUGUAGCGGUGAAAUGCGCAGAUAUCAGGAGGAACACCGGUGGCGAAGGCGGGUCUCUGGGCCGUGACUGACGCUGAGACGCGAAAGCGUGGGGAGCAAACAGG